CUAACUUUCCUCCUCACUGAAAGUGCUUUACAACCCGAAAGCCUUCUUCACACACGCGGCAUGGCUGGAUCAGGGUUGCCCCCAUUGUCCAAUAUUCCCC
rnacentral:rRNA from 1 species